rnacentral:rRNA from 1 species
GUGAACGCUGGCGGUAGGCCUAACCCAUGCAAGUCGAACGGCAGCACAGUAAGAGCUUGCUCUUACGGGUGGCGAGUGGCGGACGGGUGAGGAAUACAUCGGAAUCUACUUUUUCGUGGGGGAUAACGUAGGGAAACUUACGCUAGUACCGCAUACGACCUACGGGUGAAAGCAGGGGAUCUUCGGACCUUGCGCGAUUGAAUGAGCCGAUGUCGGAUUAGCUAGUUGGCGGGGUAAAGGCCCACCAAGGCGACGAUCCGUAGCUGGUCUGAGAGGAUGAUCAGCCACACUGGAACUGAGACACGGUCCAGACUCCUACGGGAGGCAGCAGUGGGGAAUAUUGGACAAUGGGCGCAAGCCUGAUCCAGCCAUACCGCGUGGGUGAAGAAGGCCUUCGGGUUGUAAAGCCCUUUUGUUGGGAAAGAAAAGCAGCAGGUUAAUACCCCGCUGUUCUGACGGUACCCAAAGAAUAAGCACCGGCUAACUUCGUG